CCGCACACAUCGGGGCGUUAGCGGUGCCCUGCACCCGCAAUCCGCUGCAGCGGGGAUGAUGCGGGCAAGGAGGGACGCACGCGCGGCGAGGCAGCCGCCCACAGGGCGAUGAGAGACCGGUACUGCGCAACGGAGGACUGUGAACCAUGUCAGGCGGGGAACCGAGCAGCAUUAAGCAGAAACCAUCGUGUGCCGCAGAGCUGCCGAUU
rnacentral:SRP_RNA from 1 species